rnacentral:rRNA from 1 species
UGGGGAAUUUUGGACAAUGGGCGAAAGCCUGAUCCGGCAAUGCCGCGUGUGUGAAGAAGGCCUUCGGGUUGUAAAGCACUUUUGUCCGGAAAGAAAUCCUUGGCUCUAAUACAGUCGGGGGAUGACGGUACCGGAAGAAUAAGCACCGGCUAACUACGUGCCAGCAGCCGCGGUAAUACGUAGGGUGCAAGCGUUAAUCGGAAUUACUGGGCGUAAAGCGUGCGCAGGCGGUUUGCUAAGACCGAUGUGAAAUCCCCGGGCUCAACCUGGGAACUGCAUUGGUGACUGGCAGGCUAGAGUAUGGCAGAGGGGGGUAGAAUUCCACGUGUAGCAGUGAAAUGCGUAGAGAUGUGGAGGAAUACCGAUGGCGAAGGCAGCCCCCUGGGCCAAUACUGACGCUCAUGCACGAAAGCGUGGGGAGCAAACAGGAUUAGAUACCCCUGGUAGUCCACGCCCUAAACGAUGUCAACUAGUUGUUGGGGGAUUCAUUUCCUUAGUAACGUAGCUAACGCGUGAAGUUGACCGCCU